CUUUUGCUUGUGUUGGCCUAAACUUUUGACCCUUCUAGCUUUCCGUCCUAGCAUGCCUUCACGAGGCUUUAGGUUUCCUGUGUAAAUAAACAAUUAGGUGGAUGGACAUCGUUCGUGAGUCGGAUCAGAGCUGCAAUUUCCCCCCGCUGGCUUACUAAAUGCAAAUCUUAGAGCCAGGGCAAAAUAUAGUUCCUAAUUUUCCAUGGCCAAAGGAGCCACGCUUCCUGGAAAACAGCAGUUUCUUGUGAUUUUUUAAGAAACAGCAAAACAAAAAAAGAGGAAAGAAAAUGGAAUAGAGAUGGGUUGAAGAAGCAGAUAACUGCACUGAAAGAAGAAGAGAAAGCAGUAGACAAAAUUGAAUCUAAUUGAGCAAACAGAAAAUAACUGGGCAAAGAAGGAAAGACAACCGGAGCUGCAUAUAGAUAUUACAAUUCAUUAACAGAGGGGACGAGCCCAUCUUUUCAAGUGGCUGAAGAGGAUAAUCUCCAGAGGCCUCUUCAUCAGUGCUAUCUGUAUGAAGCUAUUUUUAUUUCUUGUCCAUUUGUUUGUUUUCAGUGAUAUUUUCAGCAACUGACACUCAACCACUUCCCCUCUUCCAGUUUUCAGGAAGUAUUUGGGAGAUUCAUCUUCCAUCAAAUAAACACUGUAUAUGUCAGGGGUGUCAAACUCAAUUUCACUGAGGGCCGCAUCAGCAUUGCGGUUGCCCUCAGGGGGCUGGAUGGGUGUGACCAUGGUGGGU